rnacentral:rRNA from 2 species
UUAAGCGACUAAGCGUACACGGUGGAUGCCCUGGCAGUCAGAGGCGAUGAAGGACGUGCUAAUCUGCGAUAAGCGUCGGUGAGGUGAUAUGAACCGUUAUAACCGGCGAUUUCCGAAUGGGGAAACCCAGUGUGUUUCGACACACUAUCAUUAACUGAAUCCAUAGGUUAAUGAGGCGAACCGGGGGAACUGAAACAUCUAAGUACCCCGAGGAAAAGAAAUCAACCGAGAUUCCCCCAGUAGCGGCGAGCGAACGGGGAGGAGCCCAGAGCCUGAAUCAGUGUGUGUGUUAGUGGAAGCGUCUGGAAAGGCGCGCGAUACAGGGUGACAGCCCCGUACACAAAAAUGCACAUACUGUGAGCUCGAUGAGUAGGGCGGGACACGUGGUAUCCUGUCUGAAUAUGGGGGGACCAUCCUCCAAGGCUAAAUACUCCUGACUGACCGAUAGUGAACCAGUACCGUGAGGGAAAGGCGAAAAGAACCCCGGCGAGGGGAGUGAAAAAGAACCUGAAACCGUGUACGUACAAGCAGUGGGAGCCUCUUAAUGGGGUGACUGCGUACCUUUUGUAUAAUGGGUCAGCGACUUAUAUUCUGUAGCAAGGUUAACCGAAUAGGGGAGCCGAAGGGAAACCGAGUCUUAACUGGGCGUUAAGUUGCAGGGUAUAGACCCGAAACCCGGUGAUCUAGCCAUGGGCAGGUUGAAGGUUGGGUAACACUAACUGGAGGACCGAACCGACUAAUGUUGAAAAAUUAGCGGAUGACUUGUGGCUGGGGGUGAAAGGCCAAUCAAACCGGGAGAUAGCUGGUUCUCCCCGAAAGCUAUUUAGGUAGCGCCUCGUGAAUUCAUCUCCGGGGGUAGAGCACUGUUUCGGCAAGGGGGUCAUCCCGACUUACCAACCCGAUGCAAACUGCGAAUACCGGAGAAUGUUAUCACGGGAGACACACGGCGGGUGCUAACGUCCGUCGUGAAGAGGGAAACAACCCAGACCGCCAGCUAAGGUCCCAAAGUCAUGGUUAAGUGGGAAACGAUGUGGGAAGGCCCAGACAGCCAGGAUGUUGGCUUAGAAGCAGCCAUCAUUUAAAGAAAGCGUAAUAGCUCACUGGUCGAGUCGGCCUGCGCGGAAGAUGUAACGGGGCUAAACCAUGCACCGAAGCUGCGGCAGCGACGCUUAUGCGUUGUUGGGUAGGGGAGCGUUCUGUAAGCCUGUGAAGGUGGCCUGUGAGGGUUGCUGGAGGUAUCAGAAGUGCGAAUGCUGACAUAAGUAACGAUAAAGCGGGUGAAAAGCCCGCUCGCCGGAAGACCAAGGGUUCCUGUCCAACGUUAAUCGGGGCAGGGUGAGUCGACCCCUAAGGCGAGGCCGAAAGGCGUAGUCGAUGGGAAACAGGUUAAUAUUCCUGUACUUGGUGUUACUGCGAAGGGGGGACGGAGAAGGCUAUGUUGGCCGGGCGACGGUUGUCCCGGUUUAAGCGUGUAGGCUGGUUUUCCAGGCAAAUCCGGAAAAUCAAGGCUGAGGCGUGAUGACGAGGUACUACGGUGCUGAAGCGACAAAUGCCCUGCUUCCAGGAAAAGCCUCUAAGCAUCAGGUAACAUUAAAUCGUACCCCAAACCGACACAGGUGGUCAGGUAGAGAAUACCAAGGCGCUUGAGAGAACUCGGGUGAAGGAACUAGGCAAAAUGGUGCCGUAACUUCGGGAGAAGGCACGCUGAUAUGUAGGUGAAGCGACUUGCUCGUGGAGCUGAAAUCAGUCGAAGAUACCAGCUGGCUGCAACUGUUUAUUAAAAACACAGCACUGUGCAAACACGAAAGUGGACGUAUACGGUGUGACGCCUGCCCGGUGCCGGAAGGUUAAUUGAUGGGGUUAGCGGUAACGCGAAGCUCUUGAUCGAAGCCCCGGUAAACGGCGGCCGUAACUAUAACGGUCCUAAGGUAGCGAAAUUCCUUGUCGGGUAAGUUCCGACCUGCACGAAUGGCGUAAUGAUGGCCAGGCUGUCUCCACCCGAGACUCAGUGAAAUUGAACUCGCUGUGAAGAUGCAGUGUACCCGCGGCAAGACGGAAAGACCCCGUGAACCUUUACUAUAGCUUGACACUGAACAUUGAGCCUUGAUGUGUAGGAUAGGUGGGAGGCUUUGAAGUGUGGACGCCAGUCUGCAUGGAGCCGACCUUGAAAUACCACCCUUUAAUGUUUGAUGUUCUAACGUGGGCCCCUUACCGGGGUUGCGGACAGUGUCUGGUGGGUAGUUUGACUGGGGCGGUCUCCUCCUAAAGAGUAACGGAGGAGCACGAAGGUUGGCUAAUCCUGGUCGGACAUCAGGAGGUUAGUGCAAUGGCAUAAGCCAGCUUGACUGCGAGCGUGACGGCGCGAGCAGGUGCGAAAGCAGGUCAUAGUGAUCCGGUGGUUCUGAAUGGAAGGGCCAUCGCUCAACGGAUAAAAGGUACUCCGGGGAUAACAGGCUGAUACCGCCCAAGAGUUCAUAUCGACGGCGGUGUUUGGCACCUCGAUGUCGGCUCAUCACAUCCUGGGGCUGAAGUAGGUCCCAAGGGUAUGGCUGUUCGCCAUUUAAAGUGGUACGCGAGCUGGGUUUAGAACGUCGUGAGACAGUUCGGUCCCUAUCUGCCGUGGGCGCUGGAGAACUGAGGGGGGCUGCUCCUAGUACGAGAGGACCGGAGUGGACGCAUCACUGGUGUUCGGGUUGUCAUGCCAAUGGCACUGCCCGGUAGCUAAAUGCGGAAGAGAUAAGUGCUGAAAGCAUCUAAGCACGAAACUUGCCCCGAGAUGAGUUCUCCCUGACUCCUUGAGAGUCCUGAAGGAACGUUGAAGACGACGACGUUGAUAGGCCGGGUGUGUAAGCGCAGCGAUGCGUUGAGCUAACCGGUACUAAUGAACCGUGAGGCUUAACCUU